rnacentral:rRNA from 1 species
CACGUAGGCGGAUCGGUAAGUCAGAUGUGAAAUCCCGGAGCUCAACUCCGGAACUGCAUUUGAUACUGCCAGUCUUGAGUGAGGUAGGAGGGGGGUGGAAUUCCCGGUGUAGAGGUGAAAUUCGUAGAUAUCGGGAGGAACACCAGAGGCGAAGGCGACCCCCCUGGGCCUUUACUGACGCUGAGGUGCGAAAGCGUGGGGAGCAAACA